AGUGAACGCUGGCGGUAGGCCUAACACAUGCGAGUCGAACGGCAGCACAGUAAGAGCUUGCUCUUACGGGUGGCGAGUGGCGGACGGGUGAGGAAUACAUCGGAAUCUACUUUUUCGUGGGGGAUAACGUAGGGAAACUUACGCUAAUACCGCAUACGACCUACGGGUGAAAGCAGGGGAUCUUCGGACCUUGCGCGAUUGAAUGAGCCGAUGUCGGAUUAGCUAGUUGGCGGGGUAAAGGCCCACCAAGGCGACGAUCCGUAGCUGGUCUGAGAGGAUGAUCAGCCACACUGGAACUGAGACACGGUCCAGACCCCGACGGGAGGCAGCAGUGGGGAAUAUUGGACAAUGGGCGCAAGCCUGAUCCAGCCAUACCGCGUGGGUGAAGAAGGCCUUCGGGUUGUAAAGCCCUUUUGUUGGGAAAGAAAAGCAGCAGGUUAAUACCCCGCUGUUCCGACGGUACCCAAAGAAUAAGCACCGGCUAACUUCGU
rnacentral:rRNA from 1 species